rnacentral:ribozyme from 1 species
AAAGAGGUAGGCAAAGAAAAAAAGAAAAGAAAAAAAAAGAAAAAAAAAAGAAAAGAAAAAAACAAACAGUUUUUUUUCUUUCCCGUUUUCUUCUCACUUGUUUC